rnacentral:rRNA from 1 species
UACGUAGGGUGCGAGCGUUGUCCGGAAUUAUUGGGCGUAAAGAGCUCGUAGGCGGUUUGUCGCGUCUGCUGUGAAAACUCAGGGCUUAACCCUGAGCCUGCAGUGGGUACGGGCAGACUAGAGUGUGGUAGGGGAGAUCGGAAUUCCUGGUGUAGCGGUGGAAUGCGCAGAUAUCAGGAGGAACACCGGUGGCGAAGGCGGAUCUCUGGGCCAGUAACUGACGCUGGAGGAGCGAAAAGCAUGGGGAGCGAACAGG